GGGCGCGGCGGUCGCUGCAAA
rnacentral:snRNA from 1 species